UCGCGAGCUGUGCGGUUGAUGU
rnacentral:siRNA from 1 species